UACGUAGGGUGCAAGCGUUAAUCGGAAUUACUGGGCGUAAAGCGUGCGCAGGCGGUUGUGCAAGACAGAUGUGAAAUCCCCGGGCUUAACCUGGGAACUGCAUUUGUGACUGCACGGCUAGAGUGCGGCAGAGGGGGAUGGAAUUCCGCGUGUAGCAGUGAAAUGCGUAGAUAUGCGGAGGAACACCGAUGGCGAAGGCAAUCCCCUGGGCCUGCACUGACGCUCAUGCACGAAAGCGUGGGGAGCGAACAGGAUUGAG
rnacentral:rRNA from 1 species